GGUUCGAUUCGAGCGCAGCGAGAAAGCGUUGCCGCAGGCAACGACCCGAAGGGCGAAGCGCGCAGCGCUGAGUAAUCCUUCCCCCAUCACCA
rnacentral:sRNA from 2 species